rnacentral:rRNA from 1 species
AUAAAAGCAGGGGAUCGCWAGACCUUGCGCUUUUGGAGCGGCCGAUGUCUGAUUAGCUAGUUGGUGAGGUAAGGCUUACCAAGGUGUCGAUCAGUAGCUGGUCUGAGAGGACGACCAGCCACACUGGGACUGAGACACGGCCCAGACUCCUACGGGAGGCAGCAGUGGGGAAUUUUGGACAAUGGGGGAAACCCUGAUCCAGCCAUGCCGCGUGAGUGAAGAAGGCCUUCGGGUUGUAAAGCUCUUUCAGCCGGAACGAAACGGUCACGGCUAAUACCUGUGAUCACUGACGGUACCGGAAGAAGAAGCACCGGCUAACUACGUGCCAGCAGCCGCGGUAAUACGUAGGGUGCGAGCGUUAAUCGGAAUUACUGGGCGUAAAGCGUGCGCAGGCGGUUUUGUAAGUCAGAUGUGAAAUCCCCGGGCUUAACCUGGGAACUGCGUUUGAAACUACAAGG